AAAAGCUCAAAUUUGAAAUCUGGUACCUUCGGUGCCCGAGUUGUAAUUUGGAGAGGGCAACUUUGGGGCCGUUCCUUGUCUAUGUUCCUUGGAACAGGACGUCAUAGAGGGUGAGAAUCCCGUGUGGCGAGGAGUGCGGUUCUUUGUAAAGUGCCUUCGAAGAGUCGAGUUGUUUGGGAAUGCAGCUCUAAGUGGGUGGUAAAUUCCAUCUAAAGCUAAAUAUUGGCGAGAGACCGAUAGCGAACAAGUACAGUGAUGGAAAGAUGAAAAGAACUUUGAAAAGAGAGUGAAAAAGUACGUGAAAUUGUUGAAAGGGAAGGGCAUUUGAUCAGACAUGGUGUUUUGUGCCCUCUGCUCCUUGUGGGUAGGGGAAUCUCGCAUUUCACUGGGCCAGCAUCAGUUUUGGUGGCAGGAUAAAUCCAUAGGAAUGUAGCUUGCCUCGGUAAGUAUUAUAGCCUGUGGGAAUACUGCCAGCUGGGACUGAGGACUGCGACGUAAGUCAAGGAUGCUGGCAUAAUGGUUAUAUGCCGC
rnacentral:rRNA from 1 species